rnacentral:rRNA from 1 species
UGCAAGUCGAACGAUGAUGCCCAGCUUGCUGGGCGGAUUAGUGGCGAACGGGUGAGUAAUACGUGAGUAACCUGCCCUUGACUCUGGGAUAAGCCUGGGAAACUGGGUCUAAUACUGGAUACUACCUCUUACCGCAUGGUGGGUGGUGGAAAGGGUUUUACUGGUUUUGGAUGGGCUCACGGCCUAUCAGCUUGUUGGUGGGGUAAUGGCUCACCAAGGCGACGACGGGUAGCCGGCCUGAGAGGGUGACCGGCCACACUGGGACUGAGACACGGCCCAGACUCCUACGGGAGGCAGCAGUGGGGAAUAUUGCACAAUGGGCGGAAGCCUGAUGCAGCGACGCCGCGUGAGGGAUGACGGCCUUCGGGUUGUAAACCUCUUUCAGUAGGGAAGAAGCGAGAGUGACGGUACCUGCAGAAGAAGCGCCGGCUAACUACGUGCCAGCAGCCGCGGUAAUACGUAGGGCGCAAGCGUUGUCCGGAAUUAUUGGGCGUAAAGAGCUCGUAGGCGGUUUGUCGCGUCUGCUGUGAAAGCCCGGGGCUCAACCCCGGGUCUGCAGUGGGUACGGGCAGACUAGAGUGCAGUAGGGGAGACUGGAAUUCCUGGUGUAGCGGUGAAAUGCGCAGAUAUCAGGAGGAACACCGAUGGCGAAGGCAGGUCUCUGGGCUGUUACUGACGCUGAGGAGCGAAAGCAUGGGGAGCGAACAGGAUUAGAUACCCUGGUAGUCCAUGCCGUAAACGUUGGGCACUAGGUGUGGGGGACAUUCCACGUUUUCCGCGCCGUAGCU